GCGGCACCUCACGCCUCCACGGCCCGCUCCCGGCUGCCCCUCAACGUCGCUUCGUGAGGAACAGGUCCCGUGGGCGCCACUUUUGAAAAGCGGAACCUGCCCGGGCGGCCGCGUCGAUCCAGGCGUACCUGAUAGGAGCCGCCGGUCAGGGCCAGCUCCGCUAGGACCGCUCUUCCGUUAGCAAUGCAGCUAUAAGUGAUCGUCAUAGUUGGCGGGUCAGUGACGGAAACGCCCUCGCCCAACUUAACUGCCCGCGACUGCUCCGGCGCCUGGGGCGGGGCUCUGGGGAAGGGCGCCGUCUGCGCAGGCGCAAGGAGCUGCUGAUUGGCAGGGAGGGAGGCGGGGCGGAUCUGGACUGUGCUGAGUUUGUGGUGAGACCCGAGCGAGGUCUUCGGAAAAACUUGCUUGGGGAGGACAAACUGAUUGUAAAGCAGCCACUACAAACCCAGUCACCCAGUCCUCAUUGGUGGCAAAGGGAUCUCUAAGAUGAGCAACAAGAGGGCAGCAAAGUGAAGAUGCCAGACUCUCCUCCUCCACACACUUACAGUCAGAUUGUACAAGAACAAAACCAAUAACUCUUGAAGGAGAAACAGAUAAUUAUGGCACACACUAAGAUGCCGCGGACCAGCGCAGCGGUAGACUUGCAGGACUGUCUUAGGAUUGAGAAACUGUGAGGAUGCUCAAGGAAUCGGCGCAUAAAUGACAGACAGACACAUAAAUGACAGACAGACACACUUCAAGAGUGAAGAUCUGAAUGUAAUUUGCUCAAAAUCAUCAUACACUUUUAUACCUUUUUUAACAAUGGAUGAUUUCAUACAAUUUAAUUCUUUCUCAGCAUAAAUACUUUGUAAGGCAUAAGACAUCUACUUCAUUAUUCAUGUGCAUGUGAUCGCUGUUCCAUGACAUGGCACAGUAAACAAUCUCAAGGUACUGAAUCUACACAAUCAUUUUUGCUUACACCGAACAGCAUUCUUUAAGCUAGCUUUUCUUGAUUCGUAUCCCAAAACCACAAUGAUCAAAAACAUUGAUAUUUACCUACUGGCACCUUCUACUUUUAGUGAUCACGAGCAAUAUAUUCUCUACGUAAGCAUUUUGAUUUUUAUGGUGUUGUCUCAUGUGAGAAGUAUUAUGAUUAUUAUAAAACUACUAUUGCCACACACUAUUUUCUUUAUCAUGCAUUUCCUGAAACUGAUUGUACACAUAUAAAGAAAAAGCAAAGUAAGUGAAAAAGUAGUAUGAUUAUAGGCAGGUUGCUAAGUUGUUACUAUUUCUGAAACAAUGUCUAUCUGGUUAAUGGUUAAACUGCUUUGUAGCUAAUUCCACCAGGCUUGUUUGCAGGUGACGCUCUUAGCAGCCUUGUUUCCAUCAAAGGAGGGGUGAAUUACUGCGGGCUUGUUGCCUAAAUUAGGCUUAUAGGCAUGUAGACCUUGUUUGAUCUGAACGCCAAAGUUUAUCAUGAUGAAGCCCCUCGGGGACUGCGCCUGUCUUAGGUCGUCAGGAGUCACAGACAUGAGGCUGGCCAGUGCCUUCUUUAGUCUGCUCCCGAUCUUACCCGUCAUUGACUGUCCAGUCCAGCGCACAGGGGAAGGGGUCUUACUCACUCUGAUGUGUCUGAGUGAAAGCCUCCCUCUUUCCAGUAAGUUCACUGGUGUUCAGCGGCAGAGGCUGCCGCACUAAGAGCCACUCCUGGAAGAGGAGGGGGGGUCCCUGCAAAUAGUGGAAAGGACCUACGUUUCCAAGCUACCAAGCAUGUAGCUUCUGGGGGCGAGUCAACCCCAGUGUCCUAGUAGGUCCUAACACCAGCAAAGUGAAACUGGCAAGUGGCCCUGAUGUGGUAGGCCCUGGCAGACCCCAUUAGGCUUAUAACAGUCUUACUAGCAAAAACUCUACAGGCAAGGAGAGAAAGGAGUAAUAUGUUUAAAGAGUCAAACACUAAGCAAUAUGUACUUAGAGUCAAAAACUGCCAGACAUGAUUGUGCUACCUUUCAAGUCUCUCUUUCAGAUGAGGGAGAAAUAAAGACCUUCCCAGACAAACAAAAGCUGAGGAGUUUGCAAACACAGACCUCCCCUACAAGAAAUGUUGAGGGAGUACACCUAUUAAAUCAAAGUGAGGAAAGCCCACAAAAAUUAAAGAAGGAAAUAGACUGAACCAGAAAUCUAAAGACAAAAUGACAAUAGCGUACCUGCAUGUAUCAACAAUCACUCUAAUGUUAAUGUACUGAACUUGCCAAUUAAAAAGUACAGUGAGUCAAGAGUAUUUUU